CCUCACAGUGCAGGUCUGCAAGGAAGGGUCCUGAGAGUGGAGGUCUGCAGCCAGACCCCUCUCGUUUUUCUUGGCUAAAGCCUGAGAACCAUCAUUUUUAAGCCAAGCAACACUCAGCUGAGAACUCCGGAGACCUGCUGGAUCAGGUCCAUUUGCAUAGAAUCGAUCAACCCGCGGCAGGACAUCCAAGCGUGGCCAUAACGACGACACACCGCUCCGAACCAGACCGUUGUGCUGCUUCUCUGAAGGCCCGCAAGUGCCAGCCCCAUGACGGUUCACUUCAAUAACUCCAGCUGAGUUUGCUCUGAUUCCAUUCUAUGGGUGAUGUACUAACCGCUUGGUCAAUUAAUUCAUUUAAUCAAUUUAUUCUUUUACAAAUCAUUAGAAUUCUUAAUCCAAAUUACCGGUUACCUCAUCAGGUUAGCUCUGGCUAAUCCUCACCAUAUUUCCUUCUCUCUCACACCUACUUCCACAUCUCUCACACAUGCACACACCACACACACACUCCCACAUUCCACACAUGCACGCACACACACACAUGUAGUCCUGCACGCACACACACACACACCAUAUCUACAUUGUAUAUAGUUCACUUGUAAUUAUUUUCAUAGAAUAGUUAAUAAAUACCUCAUUUUAGACCAAAUUACAGUCUUGUGUUUCUUUGUGUAGAAUGUGGUCAAUUUAAACGAGGAUUCAAGACUUUUUGAUAUGAGAUUGAUCAAAAUUUUUAUGAAUAUUAAU